GGGGUUUUUGUUUGGGUUCGAGGAUAUCGUAGAAAUCACAUCUUGACGAGAUUUCGUGAUUCUUUGAUCUACAUUUUGCUCCUCUCAACUCAUUCUUCUGCUGUUUCCCAUACAUUCUUCAAGUUCAUGCAUCUUUCAGGUUCUUAGAUAUUUCGUUGGGAAGGUUCCAUGUUUUUUGGCAGACUUGUUGCCUUUGAUGACGGUUCCUUUGGGCCGCGUCUGUGGGCGUGAGCUGAUUUGCUGAUUCCGGCGGCUUGUUCAGUGUUUUUGGUGAAUCCCUCCCUGCAGGUGAUUUGUUGGUUAUGAUUCCAACCGUGCGGAAGGUGAAAAUUCUGGGAAGAUGUAUGCCGUGGAGAAGAUCGGCAGCUACAUCUCCCGAGGAGUGUAUACCGUCUCGGGCCCCUUUCAUCCGUUCGGAGGAGCCGUGGACAUCAUCGUGGUCCAGCAGCAAGAUGGGAGCUUCAGGUCGUCGCCAUGGUAUGUCCGGUUUGGGAAAUUUCAAGGUGUGUUGAAGACAAAGGAAAAAGUUGUCAAGAUCUCUGUUAAUGGUGUUGAAGCUGGAUUCAGUAUGUACUUGGACAAUAAAGGAGAGGCCUUCUUCCUCAGGGAUGUGGAAGUUGGGGGACAAGAUUUCUUCUUGUCACCGCCAACUUCUGGGGAUGAGACAGAGGGAAGGCUAAAGAAUGGGCAAUUCAAGAGAACACAGAGCUCUAGUGUUGCGGAUGGACAGAAGGAGGUAGUCACCCGGCUGGAUGAUGGGAAUGGACAGCUUGUUACUCGAACGAAUUCGAGGCGAUCUACGAUUUUUGGCCUUGUGUUCGGCCAAAAGUCGAUCAGAGACAUUGAAGAGGCUGGAAAUGUGGAGAGAAUUAGCUCACUGGAGCGUGCAGAGAUCGCAGCUGACCUCUUGGAAGUGAAGUGGUCAACCAAUCUGAUGUCUGGUGACCGGAAAACUGAUGAUACUCGGGUGAAAUCUUCUGAGAAAACCGAGAUGAAUGUUAGUGUUUUUGAUAAGGAACAAGAUCCUCGGACAUCUUUAACAAAUGAUGAUUUACAUUGUGAAGGAAAGCUUAAUUCUCACGGUGAGGGGAAUCCGGAUGAUACUUUUAGCGAGAGAAUUUUUAGCAGAAAUUUUUUAGAAGAAGCGAUAGAUGGUAGCCCUUCAUGUCUAAGAGUCAGUGAGGAGACUAUAGAGAUACAUACAUUUGAUACUGGUGAUAAUGCAGAUCAAAAGAACUCUGAAUUUGUCUUUAGGAACCCUAUUGUGGAGCCUAACUUAAAUUUUGAUGGAACUGGUGAUUCUUUUGUUUCACAUGUUGAGGGACAACAUAGCAACAACAUGCUAACAGAAAAAAGUUUUGAAGAGAUAACCUCCCAUGAAGAGGUUGUGCAGAUUUAUGCUUUGGAGAUUAGUGAUACGGCUGAUCGGAACAAGUUAAUCUCAGACUUAGUAACAGUACAAUCAAGUGAGGCUGAUGCUCCAAAUCUUAAUUCAGCCACAUAUUAUGAUGAUACCGCACAGCCUCAUAAUGAAAGCCAUGUGGGUUCAGUAGCAGGUUUUUCUUCAUUUGAAAGUGGAGAACGGGAACUUACUUCCUUCAGCUACUGUGGGACUAUCGAAAGUUCAACCGUUAGCUUCGAUAUUUCAGAUGACGAACCAUCUGUACAUUUGGGCCUUCUUUCUAGUGGGGCUGAGCAUUGUGAGAAUGAAUUUUUGUAUGACACAGAUAACAUGGUUCAAGAGGCAAGUUAUUUAUCAGAGACAGGUGCAUUACUACGUAAGGAACACUUGGAUGGUUGCAAUAACCAGAAAUUGGAAACAUCCAUAAUUAGCGAGUAUUAUUUGUCUGAAAAAUCUCAAUGUGACUAUCCCAGAAAUGGGGCCUUCAAGGAUUCAGAUAAUGACGGCUUUAACACAGAAUCCGAACCCAAUUCAGGCUCUGAUCAAAUCUCAGGUGGUAUUCCCUUCUUAUAUAAUCAACAAUUGCAAAGCUGUGAACAUGAGGUAAUCUUUAUGGAUGCCAUGGCAGAGGAAUCUUUUCAUGACAAAGAAACCAACUUUCAGCAAAUUGAUUUUGUUGGGAUUCACUCUCAGAUGGCGGAAAGAGAUGCUGCACAAGACACCUGUUUUCCUUCUCUCAAAUUCAAUAAUCCACUUAUUUCUGGUGCUUCUGCAGAAUCACAUAGCAUUCCUGAAAUUCCCAAUUCCUGCAACUCGAGCAAUGUAACUCAUAAGAUAGAAAAUUUUGAUUUAGAUGAUAAUCCGAAGAGGUCUUAUUUUUUCGAGGAGAUUAAUGCUGCUGGAGAUUUUAGCCUCAUCUCUGGGCCUUCAGAAGUAGCUGAACAUAGUGUUCCCUGUUCUGAGAGCUCGGAGGAUGUUCAAUUUCCAUUCAGUGACAUUCACAAUUUUAGUGCUAAAGAAAUUGACACCGAGCUAUCAAAUAAUAAUAAAGUUGUUCAUGCAGAACAUCUACCGACACUCACCGCAGAAUUUCAUCAAGAAGAGCAAAAUUUGCAUCUCAAGAGCCAUAAACAGUCUCUGGAGGGAAUGUCUGAUGUCUUAAUGUCUCGUUCUAGUCCGACAAGUAUUCAUGGCUGUAAGACAAGUUCUGGAGAAAUCGAACUAUCAUCUAUAUCAUUGCCCAUUAUCUGUCGUCAUAUUAGGGAUCUUGAAGGAUCUGAUAUUAAUCAUUCACUGAGUUGCUCAUUGAAAUCAAAAGCUGACAUAUGUAAGCUGGAUGUGCUUACGAAAGAAGAUUCGAGCUCUUCUGAUUUGGUGGCAGAGCCUCAAACAGAACUAACUCAAGGAUAUUCAUCUGAUGCAGCUGAUACUGCUAUCUCCAUUAAAAAUGAGGAGGAACAGAAAGGCACUUUGACAAAUGCGACAGUUGAGUUAUCCCUCUGCAAACACUUGUUAUUUGAAGGGAUGGGGGCAGAUGCUGCUCGUCAGGUAUUUAAUUGUGAAAAGGUGAAUUUGGAGAAAUUCUCUACCAUUGGUCCUUCUCUUGUGAAGAAUGACAAGCUUGUUGUCAGAGUUGGUGAUCAAUACUUUCCAUUUAAUGCAGCUGCACCUAUUAUUUUGGGAAUGAUUUGUUUUGGUCAGGAAAAAAUAUUUGAGCCUCAAGGUAUGAUACCUGUGGAUGGAGCUGAGAGAAAGAAUCAAGCUUCUAGAAGCAUCACAUCAUCUCGUGGGAGUUGGAACCUAUGGCCUUUCUUAAAAAGGUCUAAGACAAUAAGCACUGCCCACAUGGCCUCUGAAAACACCAAGGAGAUGGUUGUGGAUCUGGCUUCCAAAAGUACUGGAAACAUAAAUCAUGAAAGUGACAUGCCGAAAGCCAAUAACUCUAAGAAGGUGCAAUUACUUACUCCAACAUCUAAAGAACUUGCUUCUUUGAGUCUUAAAGAAGGCAAGAAUGUGGUUUCAUUUACUUUCUGGACGCCAAUGCUUGGAAUGCAGCAGGUUGAUGCAAGGAUAUAUCUAUGGAAAUGGAAUACUCGGAUAGUUAUCUCAGAUGUAGAUGGAACUAUUACCAAAUCAGAUGUUCUUGGACAGUUUAUGCCUUUGGUCGGUAUAGAUUGGUCCCAGACUGGUGUGGCUCAUUUAUUUUCUGCAAUCAAGGACAAUGGAUAUCAAUUGCUAUUUCUCAGUGCCCGUGCAAUUUCACAGGCUCAUAUUACACGGCAGUUUCUUUUCAACCUUAAGCAGGAUGGAAAAGCUCUGCCAGAUGCUCCAGUUGUAAUAUCUCCUGAUGGUCUUUUUCCUUCACUUUAUAGAGAAGUUAUCAGAAGAGCGCCUCAUGAAUUCAAGAUCUCAUGUCUAGAGGCCAUCAAGGCGCUUUUUCCAUCUGAUUGGAACCCAUUUUAUGCUGGCUUUGGAAACAGGGAUACCGAUGAGAUUAGUUACCUUAAGGUUGGAAUACCUAUUAGCAAAGUCUUCAUUAUCAAUCCUAAGGGUCAGGUUACAGUAAAUCGUCGAGUUGACACGAGAUCAUAUACUUCACUCCAUGAGCUAGUAAAUGGAAUCUUUCCACCUAUGUCUUCAUUUGAACAGGAGGACUACAAUUCAUGGAACUACUGGAAAUUGCCUCUUCCAGAAGUACACAUUUGAACCUAAAAUUGUUUCUUUAUUGGCAUUAGAAAUUUAAUUAGCACGAAUUCUCACAUACCUGAUUGAGAAAAUCCAGGCCAAUUACCGGUUGGUCAUGUGAAAUGCAUAGUGUCUCCGGUGGUAGGACAAUGUACAUAAACAUGAACUAGUGGAGGACCAGGAACUUUCCUACACUUUGAAUUUGUAUACUUUUACUUUGAGGUGUCUUCACCAAUGUAAUAAUUUCUUUGAAUCUAUUACUUUAUGAAAAAUUAAUUCAUGUGACAGAUCAUGUGAUAAAAUACCCCCAAUUUGUUUUAGGUUCUUCAUGACUCCAAGGUUUAGGGACCCGUCGUAUCGCCACAACAUUCAUGUGGUUCAUUAUAUCAUGUACUUCAAUUUUCUGGACUACAUCUUACACUAAAUCCUUAUUUGCCGAUGGAGAUGGUGGAAUAUUGCUGUGAUAAGUCCUAUGAAACUGAGCAGCAGAGCUUGUUAUCCU